UUCAAUCCAUGGAACUGCGGGAGAGCUGAGCGAAUGUGACUUGCAGCAGGACUUCAGCCCAAGAUCUGCCUCGGAAAUGGUGGCUUCGCACUGAUCCACUUAUUUUUACCCUGCAGACACUACAGUAGACAGCGGUAAAACUUUCCACGAUGGCAUCUAUCGGCUGGGAUCUGGUAGGAAGAGUGGCGGUGCUGAGAGGGCUCAGUCCAGGACCAAUGGAGGAGAUCAGCAGUAAAAGCUGGCCAGGGUAGAGGCACACUGGGCGGCGUGCAAACAACAAGGUGCUGCAGGAACUCAUCGGAUCAGGCAGCACCUUUGGAGGGAAACGGACAGAUGACGUUUCUGGUUGGGACCUCUUUAGACUUUAUACUUUAUAGAUACAGCACGGAAACAGGCCCACCGAGUCAACACCAGCCAGCAAUCACUAACAACUAACGCUAUCACUAUCCUAUACAUUAAAGACAAUUUGGGUUCUCCACAGAGGUUGCCUGAUCUGCUGAGCGCUCCGAGCAUUUUCUGUUUGUAUCUCAGGUUUCUGAGACCUGUUGUUGUUUUGAUUGUUAAAUGGCUGCCGCCUGUACACUUAA